UUCACAUAGACUCAGGGAAAGAAGGAAGAUGAUGUCCACAUGUCAGCUCCUUGGGCUUCUGUUCUUCUGGGUAUCAGCCUCCAGAGGUGACAUUGUGCUGACUCAGUCUCCAGCCACUCUGUCUGUGACUCCAGGACAAAAAGUGACCAUGACCUGCAAGGCCAGUCAGAGUAUUGGCACAUACUUACACUGGUAUCAGCAAAAGCCAAGUGAGGCUCCAAAGCUCAUCAUCAAGUAUGCUUCCCAGUCCAUGUCUGGGAUCCCCUCCAGGUUCAGCGGCAGUGGGUCAGGGACAGAUUUCACUCUCAGCAUCAAUACUGUGGAGUCAGAAGACUUUGCAAUUUAUUACUGUCAACAGAGUAACAGUUAUCCUCCCACAGUGAUGUAG